UACGUAGGUGGCAAGCGUUGUCCGGAUUUACUGGGCGUAAAGAGCGCGCAGGCGGUCGUUCAAGUCGCGUGUGAAAGCCCCCGGCUCAACUGGGGAGGGUCACGCGAUACUGAUCGACUCGAAGGCAGGAGAGGGUAGUGGAAUUCCCGGUGUAGUGGUGAAAUGCGUAGAUAUCGGGAGGAACACCGGUGGCGAAGGCGGCCAACUGGACGAGUACUGACGCUGAGACACGAAAGCGUGGGGAGCAAACAGG
rnacentral:rRNA from 1 species